UAAUACGUAGGGACCAAGCGUUGUUCGGAUUUACUGGGCGUAAAGGGCGCGUAGGCGGCAAUUCAAGUCAGCUGUGAAAUCUCCGGGCUUAACUCGGAACGGUCAGCUGAUACUGUUUUGCUAGAGUGCAGAAGGGGCAAUCGGAAUUCUUGGUGUAGCGGUGAAAUGCGUAGAUAUCAAGAGGAACACCUGAGGUGAAGACGGGUUGCUGGGCUGACACUGACGCUGACAGCGCGAAAGCUAGGGUAGCAAACGGGAUUAGAUACCCCGGUAGUCCUAGCCCUAAACGAUGAAUACUUGGUGUCUGGAGUUUUUAUCCUCCGGGUGCCGUCGCUAACGUUUUAAGUAUUCCGCCUGGGGAGUACGCACGCAAGUGU
rnacentral:rRNA from 1 species